GCCAGGCGUGGUGGUGCAUGCCUGUAAUUCCAGCUACUUGGGAGGCUGAGGCAGGAGAAUCGCUUGAACCCGGGAGGUGGAGGUUGCAGUGAGCUGAGAUGGCGCCACUGCACUCUAGUCUGGGUGACAGAGCGAGACUCUGUCUCAA
rnacentral:SRP_RNA from 1 species